GUGCCAGAAGAAGAGGGAAGACGGAGGGAGCUAGCGUUGUUCGGAAUUACUGGGCGUCAAGCGUACGUAGGCGGUUACUCAAGUCAGAGGUGAAAGCCCGGGGCUCAACCCCGGAACUGCCUUUGAAACUAGGUAGCUAGAAUCUUGGAGAGGUCAGUGGAAUUCCGAGUGUAGAGGUGAAAUUCGUAGAUAUUCGGAAGAACACCAGUGGCGAAGGCGACUGACUGGACAAGUAUUGACGCUGAGGUACGAAAGCGUGGGGAGCAAACAGGAUUAGAUACCCUGGUAGUCCACGCCGUAAACGAUGAUAACUAGCUGUCCGGGCACUUGGUGCUUGGGUGGCGCAGCUAACGCAUUAAGUUAUCCGCCUGGGGAGUACGGUCGCAAGAUUAAAACUCAAAUAAAUUGGCGG
rnacentral:rRNA from 1 species